CCUACGGGAGGCAGCAGUAGGGAAUCUUGCGCAAUGGGCGAAAGCCUGACGCAGCGACACCGUGUGAAGGAUGAAGGCCUUCGGGUCGUAAACUUCUGUCAAUUGGGGAAGAAGGUAGUAGGGUUAAUACCCCGAAUACUGACGGUACCCAAUAAGGAAGUCUCGGCUAACUCCGUGCCAGCAGCCGCGGUAAGACGGAGGAGGCAAGCGUUGUCCGGAAUCAUUGGGCGUAAAGAGCGCGUAGGCUGUUUUUCAAGUCAUAUGUGAAAACCUCAGGCUUAACUUGAGGACUGCAUAUGAAACUGGGAAACUUGAGUGCAGUAGGGGAAAGUGGAAUUCCUGGUGUAGCGGUGAAAUGCGCAGAUAUCAGGAAGAACACCGGUAGCGAAGGCGGCUUUCUGGGCUGCUACUGACGCUGAGGCGCGAAAGCUAGGGGAGCAAACAGGAUUAGAUACCCUGGUAGUCCUAGCUGUAAACGAUGGACAUUAGGUGUGGGGAGUUAUCGACGCUUUCCGUGCCGGAGCUAACGCAUUAAAUGUCCCGCCUGGGGAGUACGGUCGCAAGACUAAAACUCAAAGGAAUUGACGG
rnacentral:rRNA from 1 species